UCACGCCAGGCGGGGAGUGUUUUCUUACAGCUGUUAAGCCAGCAUGUUAAUACGUUUUAUUUUGAAAAAACAGGAAAUGUCCCGUAACUUCCGGUAGCUUGUAAUCAGGAAGUAAACAAGAGCAUGGCUCAGAGACGCUGUCUUCAUUAGUUUUGUAAUCCAGUGGAAUCUGCAUACAUCUUGUACCUUUUGAUAGCAUCGUUGUUUUACACUUUCCUAUGUCAAUAAACCUGUGGACAACGGACAA